GAUAGGCUAAUUAAGGGCGUAUGGGGAAUGCCUAGGCUCUCAGAGGCGACGAAGGACGUGAUAAGCUGCGAAAAGCUGCGGGGAUUGGCACACACGAAUUGAUCCGUAGAUAUCCGAAUGGGGCAACCCACUAUGUUGAAGACAUAGUACCGAAAGGGGCAAACCCGGGGAACUGAAACAUCUAAGUACCCGGAGGAGAAGAAAACAAAAGUGAUUCCGUAAGUAGCGGCGAGCGAACGCGGACAAGCCCAAACCUGUAUUG
rnacentral:rRNA from 1 species